GACAGAAUCGUCACGUAAUGUAACCUCACAAAUUGGUGCAUUGAACUUCAGCGAGGAACUGUCUACCCCAGAAAAGUUACAUUCAACCCUCUGGCCUUUAUGCUGCCAGCAUCUUUUGUUUCCCUGAAUGGGUUGCUUUCUGCAGAAAGAACCAUUUCCCAACAUCACUCCACAAAUAUUG